ACGAACUCUGGUAUUGAUUGGUGCUUGCAUCAUGAUUUACAUUUGAGUGAGUGGCGAACUGGUGAGUAACACGUGGGAAACCUGCCCAGAAGCGGGGGAUAACACCUGGAAACAGAUGCUAAUACCGCAUAACAACUUGGACCGCAUGGUCCGAGUUUGAAAGAUGGCUUCGGCUAUCACUUUUGGAUGGUCCCGCGGCGUAUUAGCUAGAUGGUGGGGUAACGGCUCACCAUGGCAAUGAUACGUAGCCGACCUGAGAGGGUAAUCGGCCACAUUGGGACUGAGACACGGCCCAAACUCCUACGGGAGGCAGCAGUAGGGAAUCUUCCACAAUGGACGAAAGUCUGAUGGAGCAACGCCGCGUGAGUGAAGAAGGGUUUCGGCUCGUAAAACUCUGUUGUUAAAGAAGAACAUAUCUGAGAGUAACUGUUCAGGUAUUGACGGUAUUUAACCAGAAAGCCACGGCUAACUACGUGCCAGCAGCCGCGGUAAUACGUAGGUGGCAAGCGUUGUCCGGAUUUAUUGGGCGUAAAGCGAGCGCAGGCGGUUUUUUAAGUCUGAUGUGAAAGCCUUCGGCUCAACCGAAGAAGUGCAUCGGAAACUGGGAAACUUGAGUGCAGAAGAGGACAGUGGAACUCCAUGUGUAGCGGUGAAAUGCGUAGAUAUAUGGAAGAACACCAGUGGCG
rnacentral:rRNA from 1 species